rnacentral:rRNA from 1 species
AGCGAACGUUUGCGGCGGGCUUAACACAUGCAAGUCGAACGAGAAUCCCUUCGGGGAGGAAAGUGGCGCACGGGUGCGUAACACGUGGAUAACCAACCCAUUGGUUUGGGACAACACCGGGAAACUGGUGCUAAUACCAGAUGUGUCGCAGCUGUCUUCAGGCGGUUGCGAGAAAGGCCCGCAAGGGUCGCCAACGGACGGGUCCGCGUCCCAUCAGCUAGUUGGUGAGGUAAUGGCUCACCAAGGCAAAGACGGGUAGCUGGUUUGAGAGGAUGAUCAGCCACACUGGAACUGAGACACGGUCCAGACUCCUACGGGAGGCAGCAGGGGGGAAUAUUGCGCAAUGGGCGAAAGCCUGACGCAGCCACGCCGCGUGAGCGAUGAAGGUCUUCGGAUCGUAAAGCUCUGUGGGGGGAGAAGAAACAAGCCGGUGAAGAGCCGGCCCUGACGGUAUCCCCUUAGCAAGCACCGGCUAACUCCGUGCCAGCAGCCGCGGUAAAGUGU